AGCUUGUUUAAUUUUAAGACAUUUACAAUAGUUUUGUUGUUAAGAAAGCCAGUCUUCUUCAAUAUCAGCAGAAUAAACAUAUGAAUGUAUGCAUCCCUGGAACAGAUUGAACACCAUUAGAUGAGGCUAGACCAGCAGUGCUUGUACUGUACUACUCGAGAUAGCUGCAAGAUCCAAGACCAGGGGACCAUGUCUCAGCUUCAGAGCAGGUGUGACCCCUGUCCUACUGUGUUGGCUGCUCAUCUUUGACACCUUGUAUCUUAAAAUAAAAUGCAAUAAACAUCUAUAGGAGUGUUUCAAGCACUCUUGGGGAAGAAAACCUCA